GAGGUGGAAAUCAGCAAAUAUUUGCUAACCAGUUCAACACGUCAGCUUCGCAGGUGAAGAGACGUCGACGCUGUGUUCGCAACUCGUUUCUGCUGAAAACAGUGAAAGUUAUUUUAAAUCUGACGUGUAGAAUGUAUAAAGGAAGUGAAGAUUAAAACAUUUUACAGACUUUAUUUGGGAGUUUCUCAGUGUUUCUGCCUUCAGCAGGUGGAGUUCAGUGUCUGUUGUUGACUCUCAGUCUGAAGGUCGCAGCUCCGCCCCCCAUCCCUGACACCUGACUGCUGAGGACCUGAUCAGGGACAGGACAUCUCCGUCCAUUCAUCCACCUCCACCGCUGCUCAACACAUCACCAGCUAACCUUCAGCAUUUCCUUUAAUUGGAUUUGACUCAUUCUGAUCAGCUGAUCUGAUUGGCCGAGACUGCUGCAGAGACAAGAAGAGGUGGAGCCACAGAAGAGGAAGAAGGAAGGAACCAAUAAAGAAGAGCACUGACAGAGACCAGCUGAGGUUCACCUGAGCAGCAAACACCUCCAGGACCUCCAGGACUUCCAGGACUUAUCUGCAUACUCACAGUUUCUCCAGGACCAUGUCUUCAUGUCAGACCAGAUCAGAUCUCAACCCAUCUGGACUCAAACACUUCUGUUUGUGGCUCCACCGCUGCUCCUCCUCUCCUCCUCCUCCUCCCCCUCCUCUUCCUCUCCCUGUCAGCUGUAGCGCCCCCCCCUCUCCCCCUGCGUCUCGCCGUCUCCCCCUGCUGGUCGUCCUGCUGCUCUGCAGUCUGCUGCUGAUGCUGCUGCUGCUGCUGUGGAACUACCACUGCCUGUUCAUCUCCCACAUCUGCUCCCCACCGGAGGAGGAGCAGGGGGGGGGGAGGGUCAUGAGCCUGUGGCGCCAGCGGUGACGGUGGCACCACACACACCUCCUGGAACCAGUCUGAACUGGUUCGGUCCUGCGGAAACCACAGAUGAAGAUGUUAGUUCAGAUUUUAGACGUUCAGCUGCACUGAAAAUAUCAAGAAGGGAAACUUGAUAUUUGUCAGUAUUUCCAUUUUGUGAGAUAUUUUUACGUGAAAAGAGAUUCUGAAACGUGGCUAAAUUAUUCUCCAGUGGUUUUAGUAUUUCACUUCCAUAGUUGUUAUGAGAGAUUAAAAACAGCAGCAGAGGUGGAAAUAUCCUUAUAUUCUUCACAGAACGCCUUCGCAAACCCCUGGAAUAUCUUUGAGGACUCCUUGAACCCAUUAAAAAAUCCCUCAACACUUUCAAGGAUCUCUGGGACCUUUUCAAUAAGUCCUCAUAAUGCACAUCCUGUCCUUUCAGUCCAAAAACACUGGAUCCUACAUUUCCCAUAAUGCAGCUGGGUAGUGUCUUUGCCUGCCUGGUAAACAGCUGUGCGUGUUAGACAUCUGUAGCCUCGUCAUCACUAUGACAUCAGUGUAAAAGUCGGUGGAAAGCGCUUUUCACAAUAAAAGCUCCCUGAUUGCUUCA